rnacentral:misc_RNA from 1 species
UUGUGACUGAAUACGUAAGAGUAGUUUAUAUUUUGAGGCUCCCUGUGUUGUAAUUUUUAGUUUGAAUGUGUGUGUAUUUAUUCUUAUAGCAAAAUAUGAAUCUAUCUAUCAUGUUCAAUGAAUUAUUGUUUAUAAAAAGUGCUUGAUCUUGCCAGAAACUUUAAUUUAGUGAGUACUGGAGUUGACGAGUUAGUCAACAAAAGUCAAAACUCGGGAACCCGGGCCUUGCUCCAAGUCCAACUCCAAGUCAUGGCUGAAAAAAUCCGUGGUGAUGCAGUUAGUAAUGAAGAAUCAAGAACGCUUACUGAUAGAUCAACUUCAGCAACCAUUUAUAUUGAUGCAAAUCAUAAAGACAGAGGUCAGUUAUCGGCAGCAGCGGGGGAGUAUCAAAUUCAUAAAAAGAAGCCAACAUCUUUCCAAAUUACAAGUGUAACUGUACAAGGAUCACCUCGAUUGAGUAAUGAUGCUGGAGAAGACAGUGCAGAUGAUCUUGACGAAAGUCAUACUGAAGAUAUACAUUCAGAUGGGCAAGACAGCUCUAGAUUUACUGAACUAGAAAAUGAUCAGCUUUCUGAAGAUAGCAUGAUAAACAGUAAUAGUAAUAGCAACAUAAGUGAUAGAUCUAAAGUGUCUCAGGCUGGGCCAGGCACAGAAACAAUUUCCAGUCCAUCCAUUCCAGCAAAAUUUGAGAAUGUUGUUGAGACCACUAGUAAUGUUAAUAUAAUUGCUACAACCAGUGAUUCCAAAGUAGGUGUAGAUAUUCCUUUAAAUGUUUGUAAUUCAAGUGAUUUUGUGGGAAAUGUGAUAGAUCCAGAUGGUCAAAAUGUCACAUUGUCAUUUGUGACGAGUUGCACGACCAGUAAAUCUACUUGUACAGUAAGUGGCCAGAUGCCCAUGACAUCUCUACCAGACCAAUGGCAGAAUCGUUUUAAAGUUGUUAAACUUGUCAGUAGUGAACCAUUUAAACGGGGACGUUGGGUUUGUAUGGAUUUUACAAACCCACCUGCUGUGCAGGCAGAUGUUUCUAAACAAGAACUUUCUACUGAUCAAGGUAGUGCUUCUGGUGCUUCAAGUGCUGGAAGCUCAGCCACAUCAGUGGUUAGUGAAAGUCAACCAUUAGAUACUGUAACACAAGUUCAUGAAAUUCCUGUAAGUCAACCUUAUUCUGCUACUGGUAGCAUAUUGGCUGCAACAGAUACUCCACACAGUUCUCAAUCUGUAUACGAGAUUUAUCUUCCAAUGAAUAAUCAAAUUUCUAGUGCUCAGCAGGUACCCCAGAUGUCCAUGGUUCAGAACUUUGGAAUUAAAGCUGGCCAAUCAGUUGUAGUUGACCCACAACAAACAUUCUUGCCACAGCAAAGUCAAACUAUGAUAAAUGCAUCACAGAGCCAAACAAGCCAGCUUCAAUCUCAACACCAGAUACAACCUGGUCAGACAGUUUCUGCAAUACCCCAACCUCCAACUCAACCAAUAGUUCAGGUCUCAGAAACAUUGCCUCAGCCUGUUGUUUCUCAACAGCAUCCAACUCCACCUUCUCAGCCUACUUCGGGGCUGCAUACACAAUCCAUGGGAAACAUUCCAGAUGCCUCACAAUCCCAGCUAUCACAGACUGUAUGUAGUCAAGACCAGAACUACCAGGUUCCUAGUCAAAUUAAUAAAGCCUCUACGAGCAGUGAUGUUAGUGCUCCAAAUGUCAUUACUACAGGAACUGCAUCUGUGCCUCCUUUAUCGAAAGCUCUUCCUGAUACCUUAACUCUUGGAAGUGCGGGUGAUGGUGAGGAAGCUGAAAGUUAAGGAUGUAUAGGAAAUUAUUUCAUCACCUCCGUGAUUUCGCUGCUUUCAUUGACGCGAACCAGUUGACAACGUUCUUUAAUUAACACAACGCAACCGUCUUCAUACGAAAGAAAAAAGGAGAUGAUGUCGACUUUGACCCGGUGUAAACAAAAAACUGGUGGGUUUCAUGGAUGUGGAUUGAGGAAAGAAGUCAUUUAGUGCUUCUACAGGAUCCAGUACUGUAGCCAUAGACAACAAGAUUGAACAAGCCAUGGACCUUGUGAAGAGUCACCUGAU